CUGGCGUCAGGAUAGCUUUUUAAGUAAACUUUUUUAAUUGAAGUAUAAUAUACACACAGAAAAAUGCAAAGUCAUAGUUGUACAACUUGAAUUUUUACAAAGAACAUAGCCUUAUAAUCAGUACCAAGAUCAGGAGAUAGAAUGUACCAGCAUCCUGUAAGUCUCCCUGUGCUCCACUCCACUCAUUACUUCUCUCUCAUGGUACCCUCUAUUCUAAAUUCCAUCACCACAGGUUUACGUAAAUGGAAUCAUCAGCAUAGAUUAAUUAUUGCUGCGUGGUAUUCCGUUACAUGAAUAUACCACAGUUUACUGCCUACUGUUGAUGGGCAUUUGAGUUAUUUCCAGAGGGAUUAUUUUGACUGCAGAAAAUCUACAAGUCAUUCAGGAAAAAAGAAAAACUGGUUAGAGUAACCAAGGUCAGGGACUUAGUUUCACAUGUUGCUGCAUCAGCUGCCUUUUAAUAAAUGAUCGUCACAGCAGUAUUUUUUGACACUCGCCGUAUGCUGAGCUCUCCUAAUCACUGCACAUACUCAAUACAACCACUGUAUGAAGCAGGUGCUGUACUUAGCUCCAUGUUACAGUUGAGGAAGGAUUAAUUAGGUUGCCUGAGGACAUGGGAAGUAGCAGAGUAGGGAUUCAAUACAGGCAGCCUGGUUUCAGAGCCCAUGUUCCAGCCAUCACAGUAUUGCUCUAUAGAAAUCAGAGGUAAGGUCUGUGACAAGUAUGUCUCAGUAACAGAAGAGUGGGUUGUUUGAAGAGACUGAUAAUGCUCCUUAGGGGUGGAGGAGAAUAUCAGGAUCAAGUCAAGAUAAGGGGACACUGUGCCUGACUUCACAGAAAGGAAGGUAGAUGGGGAAUAGGCAUCACGAGGGAAAACAGGUUGAGAUACAACAGUACGAUGUGUUUAGUACAGACUGUCUUUAUGGCUGUUGCAAGGAGGUAGUCUGUCCUAGGAGGCAGAGGACCUCGUUCUUAGGUCCCCCCACCCUUAGUGGCUGUGCGGCGUUGGGAGAUUGUUAAACAUCUAUACCUCUCAAUACCAUCUGAAAAUAGGUAUUUUCUAUCACGUAGAUGAACCAGAGAGCUGGCUGGUUUGAGACAUGGGGAUAGUUUGGGAACAAUGAAACCCAUCAGAUUGAUGGGAAAAUAGAGCAGACGCCUCUGGUACCCAUGUCACAUCCCUAGGGACACUUCUUUUCAGCUGUAGCUGUGGUGGAUGGUUCUGUGUGAACUCAGAACUCACCUUGCCCUGCUCAAGUGCUCUUUAUCUUCACAAGAAUAAAAGCUUACAAUGGUUUAUUUA